rnacentral:lncRNA from 1 species
GGACAGAUGUGUAGUAUUAUAGGUGUGGUACUAGACAGAUGGGUUAUGGUUAGUAUUAUAGGUGUGUUACUGGACAGAUGGGUUAGUAUUAUAGGUGUGGUACUGGACAGAUGGGUUAGUAUUAUAGGUGUGGUACUAGACAGAUGGGUUAGUAUUAUAGGUGUGGUACUGGACAGAUGGGUUAGUAUUAUAUGUGUGGUACUAGACAGAUGGGUUAUGGGUAGUAUUAUAGGUGUGGUACAGGACAGAUGGGUUAGUAUUAUAGGUGUGGUACUGGACAGAUGGGUUAGUAUUAUAGGUGUGGUACU